rnacentral:misc_RNA from 1 species
AAAAAUAAAUAAAUAAAUAUAAACCCUAAAUCUAUAAUAAUUGGUAAAAAAAAAAGGGAAGGGGGGGAGGAGGGGGCUUUUAAGUUUUAAUUGACCUAAUUUCAGGGUUUUUGAACAAGAAAUGACCUAAAAUCAAGAAAAUUAAAAGACACAACUUUUCUUUUAACAGUCAAAAUCUAAGCCUAGAAGAUUGUUUGAGAGUUUGAGUGUGGUGUUGGGUCUUUGUAUGAGGCAGGAAACAGACUGCAAAGGACUAAAAAAAUUGCAGAGAAAAAGUAAAAGAAAAGAAUCAGAGCAACCAAAAAACGAGUAAAG